rnacentral:lncRNA from 1 species
CUGCCUUCCAGGCUCACGCCAUUCUCCUGCCUCAGCCUCCAGCAUAGCUGGGACUACAGGCGCCCGCCACCAUGCCCGCCUAAUUUUUUGUAUUUUUAGUAGAGACGAGGUUUUACCGUGUUAGCCAGGAGGUCUCCAUCUCCUGACCUGGUGAUCCGCCUGCCUCGGCCUCCCAAAGUGCUGGGAUUACAGGAGUGAGCCACCACGCCUGGCCUUAAUUAUAUUUUUAUGUAACUUUUUGAUACUACUCAAGUAUUUUUUCCUCUACGGUACUCACUAUGCUGAAAGAUUUUUCUUUCACAUGUUUUCUAAACUAUGUAAUAUAAGUGUCAUUGGCUAUUUUUGUCCACCUGAUGGAGGUAAGAAAUGAUCAAAGUACAGUUUAACAGCAGUAUUAGCAAGAGUUGAGCCUUGCUGAAUAUGUAAGUUUCAACGGAUUUGCUUUGCAACUACAUGCAGUAGAUGUUUUAAGAGGGUAGGUAGGAUAUUUAAAUUUAACCUUUUUGUGCCACUGUGUGAGAGUGGGCUUCUGAAAAUGGAGGGGGGAAGCAUCUCUCCUUGGUUAGUAGGCAUUCAAGUGGAAGAUAUGUUAUAAAAACCUAGUUGUAUCUUAUAGGAUGCUAAAAGCAAGGUGACUGAACUUCUAACAGGGCAUUCUACAUUGAGUAUGUGCUUUUCUCUAUAAUUAGGCUAAAAAAAGGUUGGUAAGUAAUAUGAACUUAAAAUCAAGAUUAACCCCCAAUUUACAAACCCAUGAUAAAAAGUGUUGUUGAUUACUUGGAUCCUAUCUUUUCUGCAGUUUAUGUUUCUAGUGACUUACUCAAUAGUUUUUUCUUACUCUUUCCCUGGACAGAAUAUGUAAUAUAAGAAACAUAAGUCCUUUGAGUUGAGGGAGAUCAGAUAGAUUUAAUAAAAGUCAUUUAGACUUUAUUGCAUAUUCUGGAAGUCCAAAGAAGAAUGACUCUGGUUGCAUAGCACUUCUAAUAAAGCCACAAAAUCAUUACCUGACUCAGUGCCUGUUCUUGUUAUCAUAUUUUUACUUUAUGUUUUGGUAUUUCAUUUAUUUAUUACGUUUCAGCUGUGAGAGUACCUUCUACAAAACAUUUUAAACUUUUUUCUAUUUUCAUUAAGUUGCAGUCCCACUCCACCCAGUCCAGCCUCCUAAUUCUAGCCUUUAUACAGCUAAGAUUGAGGCAAUCAGUUAUAAGGACGCCUGCUCAUAAUUACCUUCUCAGAAGGUAAUUAUAUUAAUACUGAAUUUAUUUAGUGGUAUGCUGUCAUCAAAAAAAUUCAUUAAAAAUAAAAUCAAUGAAGGCUGGUCUCAAGCUCCCAACCUCGAGUGAUCCACCUACCACGCCUCCCAAGUUGCUAGGAUUACAGGCAUGAGCCACCAUGCCCGGCCUAAGUGCAUAUAUAUUUUUGGGCACAUUUUUACAACUUUUAAAAAAAGCUUUUUUUUUUUUUUGAGACGGAGUCUUGCUCUGUCGCCCAGGCUGGAGUGCAGUGGCGUGAUCUCGGCUCACUGCAAGCUCUGCCUCCCGGGUUCACGCCAUUCUCCUGCGUCAGCCUCCCAAGUAGCUGGGACUACAGGUGCCCGCCACACGCCCAGCUAAUUUUUUGUAUUUUUAGUAGAGAUGGGGUUUCACCAUGUUAGCCAGGAUGGUCUCAAUCUCCUGACCUCGUGAUCCGCCCGCCUGGGCCUCCCAAAGUGCUGGGAUUACAGGCAUGAGCCACCACACCCGGCCCCUAAAAAAAGCUUUUUUGACUUAGUAGUGCCCAGGAGACAGUUCUAAGCAAAUUGUAAGCAUUUUCUUCUGACUCCUUUGUCUUCAGAUAAUCUCACCUCUUGUUUGAUAACUUAUUGAGCAACUUUGUUUCUGUUUUUUUGCAGGGACAUCAGUUUUUUUCUUGGUAGCAAGCUGUAGAUUUUGUUUCAAGGAAAGCAUCUUCAUCUUCUCUAGUUUCAUCAUGUAUAGAUGGAGAUUCCGAUGCAGGUAUCUGUAUCAAUUUCAAUACAGUCACAUUUGUGUUUAUUUGAACUCUAGAACUAGAAAAGGAAUUACUUUUUUCUUUGAUUUUCUUUUUCUUCCUUCUCUUGAGGAUCAUGAAAGUAUAAAAGAAUACUUUCUAAAUGAGGGU